UUCCUCCAUGUUGGAAGCAGCUAGGACUGGAGACUGUCUGGACCUAGAGUUGGUGCUCAUCGUCCUGAUGGUGAAGGAAAGAGCAAGUCUUGGAGAAAAUAAGCAGAAGGCAUGGGGACUGGAAGUUGUGAGGUACGAUGAGGCUUCUGCUGAUACAGGAAUGAUGUCCUCACCCACUGGGCCAUAGGAGUGGCCUCCCAGGAUAAAAGAACAUGGGGAGCCAGCACUGUAUUUUGAAUCAGUAAAUUGUCACAGUUUUUUAUUGGCUGGACCCAGGAAAGCAUGAAACUGGCUGGAAUUGCAGGAGAUAUUUGAGUUAGACACGUCAGAGGACUUCCUGGCCUGAAGGGC